CUCAUCCUACGGGGCGCAGCAGUGGGGGAUACUGGGCAAUGGGCGCAAGCCUGACCCAGCAACGCCGCGUGAAGGAAGAAGGCGUUCGGGUUGUAAACUUCUUUUGACAGGGAAGAGUAGAAGACGGUACCUGUCGAAUAAGCCACGGCUAACUACGUGCCAGCAGCCGCGGUAAUACGUAGGUGGCAAGCGUUGUCCGGAUUUACUGGGUGUAAAGGGCGUGUAGCCGGGUUGACAAGUCAGAUGUGAAAUCCUGCGGCUUAACCGCAGAACUGCAUUUGAAACUGUUGAUCUUGAGUACUGGG
rnacentral:rRNA from 1 species